rnacentral:rRNA from 1 species
UACGAAGGGGGCUAGCGUUGCUCGGAAUCACUGGGCGUAAAGCGCACGUAGGCGGAUUGCUAGUCAGGGGUGAAAUCCUGGAGCUCAACUCCAAACUGCCUUUGAUACUGGCGAUCUUGAGUCCGGGAGAGGUGAGUGGAACUGCGGAGUGUAGAGGUGAAAAUUCGUAGAUAUUCGCAAGAACACCAGUGGCGAAGGCGGCUCAGUGGCCCGUACUGACGCUGAGGUGCGAAGCGAGGGAGCAACUGGG